rnacentral:rRNA from 1 species
UACGUAGGGUGCGAGCGUUAAUCGGAAUUACUGGGCGUAAAGCGUGCGCAGGCGGUUCGCUAAGACCGAUGUGAAAUCCCCCGGGCUUAACCUGGGAACUGCAUUGGUGACUGGCGGGCUAGAGUAUGGCAGAGGGGGGUAGAAUUCCACGUGUAGCAGUGAAAUGCGUAGAGAUGUGGAGGAAUACCGAUGGCGAAGGCAGCCCCCUGGGCCAAUACUGACGCUCAUGCACGAAAGCGUGGGGAGCAAACAGG